ACUGGGGUGGCAGAGCAUGGUUAAUUGCGAAAGGCCUAAGCCCUUUUACCCAGAGGUUCAAAUCCUCUCCCCAGUU
rnacentral:tRNA from 4 species